GCCGCGGUCGCAUAACCUGGUAGCGCGCAGGAUUGCUAAUCCUGUUUCCGAAAGGAUAUCUGGGUUCAAAUCCCAGCCGCGGCGCCA
rnacentral:tRNA from 1 species